rnacentral:rRNA from 1 species
CAGCAAUGCCGCGUGAGUGAUGAAGGCCUUAGGGUUGUAAAGCUCUUUUACCCGGGAAGAUAAUGACUGUACCGGGAGAAUAAGCCCCGGCUAACUCCGUGCCAGCAGCCGCGGUAAUACGGAGGGGGCUAGCGUUGUUCGGAAUUACUGGGCGUAAAGCGCGCGUAGGCGGCUUUGUAAGUUAGAGGUGAAAGCCCGGAGCUCAACUCCGGAACUGCCUUUAAGACUGCAUCGCUAGAAUUGUGGAGAGGUGAGUGGAAUUCCGAGUGUAGAGGUGAAAUUCGUAGAUAUUCGGAAGAACACCAGUGGCGAA